rnacentral:rRNA from 1 species
UACGUAGGGGCCUAGCGUUGUCCGGAUUUAUUGGGCGUAAAGAGCUCGUGAGGCGGUUUGGUGAGUCGGGUGUGAAAUCUCCACGCUCAACGUGGAGGGCCACCCGAUACUGCCAUGACUAGAGUCCGGUAGGGGAGUGUGGAAUUCCCGGUGUAGCGGUGAAAUGCGCAGAUAUCGGAGGAACACCAGUAGCGAAGGCGACACUCUGGGC